ensembl:lncRNA
AUGAGGAGAACGGGUUUGUGCGUUUCUGGAUCCUUGGUGCUUCCCAGUCUCAGACGCUGUGCAGGCUCUGAGGGGUCUCGCUGGGAAAACUUGAACAGUUGGCCCCCGGGGUGGAGUGGGGCUGCAGCGGGUCUUGCAGAAACUGGAAGUGGGGCUGAAUUCAAGAAAGGGAAACAAGCAGACAGAGUAAGUACCCAAAAGUGUCUAAGUGGCUGGGUGGGGGAUCCUUCUAUGGUGUUGGAUUGUGUUCUGCCAGACAUCGCUCCUCGAAAAGCUGACCCUGAAAGGGCUGGCAUUGCCCUCACCCUGAGACAUUUGUCUGUCUCACCAGAAAAUGAAGAAUCUGCCAGAGUACUGUGAGUCAAAUUCAGUCAGAACUCGAUUAACUAAGAGGCUUUGUCUGAAAGGCCAAAACAUGAGGACACAUUUUUAAUUUUUAAGGAGGGCUUCGUCGUCAGUCAGUUCUCACGUGUACUGCAUUAGGAAACCUCUGAACUUCCAUGAUCAGGCCCAGAGCUCUGAGGGAAAGUGGUUGUGACCUUCCCACUGUUUUUGUCACUAGCUUUAUUCAUUUCCUUAAAACCCUUUUUGUAUGAGUUCUAUUUUAGUUUGAAAAAAAAUUCACUUAGGUAGAACUGGAAGUGUUUCCGCAGUGUUAAUACUCAUGACCCGUUCUGGGUCUCGGUAUAUGUGUACUGUAUAAAUGUACAUGUUUGUAUGUGGUGUACCCAUACUACGUGUAUUUCCACUGUGCAUGUAUUUACAAUGUAUAAGUAUGUACACUACAUAUGUGUCCUACAGACGUGCAUGCUGUAGGCAUGCUUGUACAUGUGUAUAUGUGUGUAUCUAUGGGCACUAUGGUUAUAUGUACACUACUUGGACACCUAUCUGUUCUGCAUGUGUACAUACAUGCAUGUAUUUAAUGCCAUGUGCAUACCUGUGUACGUACACCAUGUGAGUAUGUGCACAUUAUUUCUGCAGAUGUAUAUAUACAUAUGUGCACACAAGCAUGCAUGUACACUAUGCACACUGAAUAAACUUUUGGAUAUGUACACACUAAUACAUAUACAUGCUGUGUAUGUAUGUACACUAUUGCAUAUGUGUAUAUGCUUUAUACGUUAGUGUACUGAUAUACAUUGUAUACAUGUGCAUAUGUGUACACUGCGCAUUUGUAUGCAUGCUGUCAUGCACCUACGUAUAUUGGAUAAGAAUGUAUGCUAUAUGCAUGUGUAUGCAUAUAGUAAAUAGCAUACCUGUGUACAUACGGAUGUGCAUGUGUAUGCCAUAUGCAUGUACAUACAGGUUAUAGUAUACCUGUGUACACCGUAUGCAUAUAGAAGUGUGUACAUGCUAUGCAAGUGCAUACAUGUUAGCAUACCGGAUGUGUGUAUGCUCUAUGCUUGUACACACGUAGUGAACUUGUUUGUACACUAUAUAUAUUUGGAUAUGUGUACACUCUGCAUGUACACUACAUGGAUCUGGAUGUGUGUGCACUCUGUACACAUGUAGUGCUCUUAUGUACACUAUACAUAUUCAGAUGUGUGUAUGUUCUAUGCAGGUACAUGUGUUACAGUGUACCAUAUAUGUACACUAUGUGGAUGUAAAUGUGUGUGUGCUCUAUGGCACCAGGAAUAGGGCUUCCUGAGGGAUCCAAGAAUGCACCAUCUCGCCAGCACCAGAGAGUGUAGGAAGAAAACAGUUGUUUGUUGCAACCUAGUUGAAAUUUGACAGGUUACUAUACCCUUUGCAAUGAUUUAGGAACAGUCACUUCAUUGAUGUGUGUGUUCCUGAAAUCAUAAACAGCUCUGUGAGGUGUGUCUCAUCCCCAGACGAGAGAGGGAACCGAAACAACAAUGACUCGGUCACUUAAGUGAGGUAGAAAUAACAGAGCAGCUGUCUAGCUUUCCAUAUUAUAACUUUGUCAGGAGCUCAAUGAGAAAUCGCCACUCAUCAGGAAAUGUGUCCACUUUCUACUGUUCUUUAUUCGUGGUAUAUUUACUGCCUCGUGUUAUUCCUCACGAUGUAGCAAAAUCCCUCCUAGAGUUGUGAAUAUAAACAGUUUAUGACAAAUGUAGUAUCUUCUUUAUUAACGUUGAAAACGAUAUGUAAGUUCACCUUCAGAUUCUGUUUGGAAGGAUGAGAAAGAAGAUGGUUAGGACAAAAGAAUAGAGAGCUUUCAAGUAAACAGGGAAAAUAAGGACUUUGUGCAAAAUAUUUCCAAAUUUGGAAUUUGAGAAUACUAAAUCUCACAUCUAAGAUCGUAGGUAGCUUUUUUGGGUUUUUAAAAUUAGUACUUGGUUUUCCAUGCUUUUGGGAAUUUCACUCCUGAUGGAGGAUUGCAAGAAUAAUCUGAUUUUUCAGAACAGAAGGACAGUCUGUCUCAAAGGUAAAUUCCAGGUUCUACCAUAGAGAAAUAGAAAUUGCUGUCAACUUUCUGUAAGGUUCUUCAGUUCUUUCCUCUUCUGUGGUUAAAAAACCAUCUCUGGGUUUAGUCUUAGCCAAGUUCCUCUUAUUAGGUUGCCUUACAUUUCACACAGCUGUUGAGAGUCUUCAUCAUUCAUAGUUAACUUGUUAAAAGCAAAAGCUUGUACUAGUUAGAUCUGAGCACCUUAAAGGCAGGGCUUUGUUUUAUAUUUUUAAUAAGCAGCAGGGUGAUGGCAGGGCUGGGGCCCUUCAUCCCAUCAUGCAUUCCUUUGAGCUUUCAGAGUUCUCACUGUGUGCUGAGUGUGGUGUUGGCUGUUUAGGGUUUAAAUAGGAAUACGAGGCUCUGCGACUUGGGACGCUCUUACUACCUUCAUAGAGAGCUUGGUGACAGCUUAGCAUGACAGCUUUCACACCUGUUGUGUAUACUUUAUUACGGUCCCACAGAAAGGGUGUUGAUUUAAAUGUAACUAAUUUCUCGUGUUUAUUUUUGCCUUUAUUCCUAGUUACAGUCCCGAUACUUUUUCUUCCUUUAAAAUCUUGCC